rnacentral:rRNA from 1 species
GCAGCCUGAUCCAGCAAUGCCGCGUGAGUGAAGAAGGCCUUCGGGUUGUAAAGCUCUUUUGUCAGGGAAGAAAAGGGAUUGGCUAAUAUCUGGUCCUCAUGACGGUACCUGAAGAAUAAGCACCGGCUAACUACGUGCCAGCAGCCGCGGUAAUACGUAGGGUGCAAGCGUUAAUCGGAAUUACUGGGCGUAAAGCGUGCGCAGGCGGUUUUGUAAGACUGUCGUGAAAUCCCCGGGCUCAACCUGGGAAUGGCGAUGGUGACUGCAAGGCUAGAGUUUGGCAGAGGGGGGUAGAAUUCCACGUGUAGCAGUGAAAUGCGUAGAUAUGUGGAGGAACACCGAUGGCGAAGGCAGCCCCCUGGGUCAAAACUGACGCUCAUGCACGAAAGCGUGGGGAGCAAACAGGAUUAGAUACCCUGGUAGUCCACGCCCUAAACGAUGUCUACUAGUUGUCGGGUCUUAAUUGACUUGGUAACGCAGCUAACGCGUGAAGUAGACCGCCUGGGGAGUACGGUCGCAAGAUUAAAACUCAAAGGAAUUGACGGGGACCCGCACAAGCGGUGGAUGAUGUGGAUUAAUUCGAUGCAACGCGAAAAACCUUACCUACCCUUGACAUGGAUGGAA